AGUACCGUGAGGGAAAGGUGAAAAGAACCCCGGGAGGGGAGUGAAAUAGAACCUGAAACCGUGUGCCUACAACCGCUCAGAGCCCCUUAUGAGGGUGAUGAGGUGCUUUUUGUAGAACGAGCCAACGAGUUACGGUAUGUAGCAAGGUUAAGUACUUAAGGUACGGAGCCGAAGGGAAACCGAGUCUGAAUAGGGCGACUAGUUGCAUGCCGUAGACCCGAAACCGGGUGACCUAUCCAUGGCCAGGUUGAAGCGAGGGUAAAACCUCGUGGAGGACCGAACCACGUUGCUGUUGAAAAAGCAUGGGAUGAGCUGUGGAUAGCGGAGAAAUUCCAAUCGAACCCGGAGAUAGCUGGUUCUCUCCGAAAUAGCUUUAGGGCUAGCGUCGAGUAUGAGUAGUGGAGGUAGAGCACUGAAUGGGCUAGGGGGCAUAGCGCUUACCGAACCUUAUCAAACUCCGAAUGCCACAUACUUUGAGCUCGGCAGUCAGACUACGAAUGAUAAGAUCCGUGGUCAAAAGGGAAACAGCCCAGAUCGUCAGCUAAGGUCCCAAAGUGUAAGUUAAGUGGGAAAGGAUGUGAGAUUUCUAAGACAACUAGGAUGUUGGCUUAGAAGCAGCCAUUCAUUAAAAGAGUGCGUAAUAGCUCACUAGUCGAGAGAUCUUGCGCCGAAAAUGUAACGGGGCUAAACUUACCACCGAAGCUACGGGCUUGAACUGAAUCCCACAGGCCGAAAACCUAAGGUUUCCUCAGGAAGGUUCGUCCGCUGAGGGUUAGUCGGGACCUAAGCCGAGGCCGAAAGGCGUAGGUGAUGGACAACUGGUUGAUAUUCCAGUACCACUACCAUCGUUAUUAUCGAUGGCGUGACGCAGGAGGAUAGUGUGUGCUAGCUAUUGGAUGCUAGUCUAAGCGUUUAGGCAGUGAGAGUAGGCAAAUCCGCUCUCAUAAUGCUGAGGCGUGAUGGGGAAGGUUCUACGGAACCGAAGUACAUGAUUCCACGCUGCCAAGAAAAGCGUCUAGAGAGAGAAGUAGUGCCCGUACCGCAAACCGACACAGGUAGGUGAGGAGAGAAUCCUAAGGCCGGCGGAAGAAUUACAGUUAAGGAACUCGGCAAAUUGACCCCGUAAGUUCGCGAGAAGGGGUGCCUACGAGAGUAGGCCGCAGAGAAUAGGCCCAAGCAACUGUUUAGCAAAAACACAGGUCUCUGCUAAAGCGUAAGCUGAUGUAUAGGGGCUGACGCCUGCCCGGUGCUGGAAGGUUAAGGGGAACACUUAGCGCAAGCGAAGGUGUGAACUUAAGCCCCAGUAAACGGCGGCCGUAACUAUAACGGUCCUAAGGUAGCGAAAUUCCUUGUCAGGUAAGUUCUGACCCGCACGAAUGGCGUAAUGACUUGGGCACUGUCUCAACUGUAAAUCCGGCGAAGUUGUAGUGCGAGUGAAGAUGCUCGCUACCCGCGAUUGGACGGAAAGACCCCGUAGAGCUUUACUGUAGCUUAGCAUUGAGUUUUGGUAUUGUCUGUACAGGAUAGGUGGGAGACUAGGAAACCAGGGCGUCAGCCUUGGUGGAGUCAACCUUGGGAUACCACCCUGACAGUACUGAAAUUCUAACUGGCGGCCAUGAAUCUGGUCACAGGACAUUGUUAGGUGGGCAGUUUGACUGGGGCGGUCGCCUCCUAAAAAGUAACGGAGGCGCCCAAAGGUUCCCUCAGAACGGUCGGAAAUCGUUCGAAGAGUGCAAAGGCAGAAGGGAGCCUGACUGCGACACCCACAAGUGGAGCAGGGACGAAAGUCGGGCUUAGUGAUCCGGUGGUACCUCGUGGGAGGGCCAUCGCUCAACGGAUAAAAGCUACCUCGGGGAUAACAGGCUGAUCUCCCCCAAGAGUCCACAUCGACGGGGAGGUUUGGCACCUCGAUGUCGGCUCGUCGCAUCCUGGGGCUGAAGUAGGUCCCAAGGGUUGGGCUGUUCGCCCAUUAAAGCGGCACGCGAGCUGGGUUCAGAACGUCGUGAGACAGUUCGGUCCCUAUCCGUCGCGGGCGUAGGAAAUUUGAGAGGAGCUGUCCUUAGUACGAGAGGACCGGGAUGGACUGACCUCUGGUGUACCAGUUGUUCCGCCAGGAGCACAGCUGGGUAGCUAAGUCGGGAAUGGAUAAACGCUGAAAGCAUCUAAGCGUGAAGCCAACCUCAAGAUGAGAUUUCCCAUAGCUUCAGCUGACCGAUACUAAUAGAUCGAGGGCUUGACCAA
rnacentral:rRNA from 1 species